GUCCUACUUUGGUAACACAUAUACUAAAAUUGGAACAAUACCAAGAAAAUUACCAUGGCCCUGUGCAAGAAUGACAUGCAAAUUUGUGAAGCAUUAUAUAUACAU
ensembl:snRNA U6 U6 spliceosomal RNA